rnacentral:rRNA from 1 species
UGGGGAAUAUUGCACAAUGGGCGCAAGCCUGAUGCAGCCAUGCCGCGUGUGUGAAGAAGGCCUUCGGGUUGUAAAGCACUUUCAGCGAGGAGGAAGGUGGUGAGCUUAAUACGCUCAUCAAUUGACGUUACUCGCAGAAGAAGCACCGGCUAACUCCGUGCCAGCAGCCGCGGUAAUACGGAGGGUGCAAGCGUUAAUCGGAAUUACUGGGCGUAAAGCGCACGCAGGCGGUUUGUUAAGUCAGAUGUGAAAUCCCCGGGCUCAACCUGGGAACUGCAUUUGAAACUGGCAAGCUAGAGUCUCGUAGAGGGGGGUAGAAUUCCAGGUGUAGCGGUGAAAUGCGUAGAGAUCUGGAGGAAUACCGGUGGCGAAGGCGGCCCCCUGGACGAAGACUGACGCUCAGGUGCGAAAGCGUGGGGCAGCAAACAGGAUUAGAUACCCUGGUAGUCCACGCUGUAAACGAUGUCGAUUUUGGAGGUUGUGCCCCUU